UAAUACCAGCUCUCCGAGUAGUGUGGAUGUUUAUUGGGCCUAAAGCAUCCGUAGCUUGCUAGGCAAGUCCCCUGUUAAAUCCACCGAUUCAAUCGAUGGUUUGCGGGGGAUACUGUUUGGCUAGGGGACGGGAGAGGUCGACGGUAUUUCCGGGGUAGGGGUGAAAUCCUAUAAUCCCGGGAGGACCACCAGUGGCGAAGGCUGUCGACUAGAACGCGCCCGACGGUGAGGGAUGAAAGCUGGGGGAGCGAACCGGAUUAGAUACCCGGGUAGUCCCAGCUGUAAACGAUGCAGGCUAGGUGUUUGGGCGGCCACGAGCCGCCCUAGUGCCGCAGGGAAGCUGUUAAGCCUGCCGCCUGGGGAGUACGGCCGCAAGGCUG
rnacentral:rRNA from 1 species